rnacentral:ncRNA from 1 species
CGCUGGUUGACAGGAUGUCUUAUCACUUAGCGCAUAUUAUUUUGGAGAUUUAGCAUGGCUUUAACGACAGAACAGAAAGCAAACAUUGUCAAAGAAUACGGCCAGGGCGA